rnacentral:rRNA from 1 species
UGAGCAAUCUGCCCUUCUCUUCGGAAUAAGCGUUGGAAACGACGUCUAAUGCCGAAUACGACCUCCUCUCACAUGAUCGGAGGUGGAAAGCUCCGGCGGAGAGGGAUGAGCUCGCGGCCUAUCAGCUAGUUGGUGUGGGUAAUGGCCCACAAGGCGACGACGGGUAGCCGGCCUGAGAGGGUGACCGGCCACACGUGGGACUGAGACACGGCCCAGACCUCCGUACGGGAGCAG